CCCUAAUCUGAAGAACCCUAAAUCGUAGGAGUCUCAUGCGAUUCUGUUAGUGUUACGGAAUCUAUUUGGUGCCUACGUCGUCAAACUCUUAAUCGAUUUGGUGCCUGCGAGAAGAACUCUUAUCGAUUUGGUGCUCGCGAUUCCUCUCAGUUGAAGAACUCUAAGUUGAAGGUGAUUCUCUUCUAGUGUUACAGAGUUGGAGCGAUUUCUCUCAGUAAAAGAACCGUAAGUCCAAGGUGAUUCUCUUCUAGUGUUUAUGCGGUGCAAUUUCUCUCAGUCGAAGAACCCUAAAAGGAAGGUUGUUGUGUUCAACCAGCGCCAUUGAUUCAUUGUCAUUCCCUUCCCCAUUGUUAUUUCUGUGAAGGAAGAACCAACCUGAUUUGAGAAGUUCUAAAGAAGCAGUGGUGCCUUCAAAUAUGGAUAUGAGAGUUUUAGUGUUUUUAUAAUUAUGAUGGGAUGACUGUUGAGAGAUUAGUGGACCCAAAUAAAUUAGUGGAAAUGGUAAAUGAUAUUUACAAUACAGUUAUUGUGCAUGCUGCCCUUGUAGGACACAAAGUGAGAUUCAAUGUCAAAUGUUUAUUACAAGAUGGAAAAACUGAGUUUGAAGUGCAUGAUGACAAUAUGUUUUGAAGUUGUUUCCUUUGAAUGAAAAACUGAAUUGCAUUGAUUUGCAUGUGUGUAACCUAUCUAUGGAUAAGUACCCAACCAAGGACUACACCAUUAAUGGUUACCUUGAGUACUGUAGUUACCAAGGAUAUGCAAACUAGUAUGGAAUUCCAACAUAGUAGGAUUAAUGUUGUUGGCACUGAUGAAUACACCAUUAAUGCUGUGAAUACUGGGACUUCUAGGCAUGAAAAGGAACCUGUUAUGUUGAGUGGUACUCCAUCCAGGGAUUUGAUUGUGCCAUUUGGUACUAGUGGAACCACUACUGCAAUUAGAAGAGCUAAUAGUAGGUCUCUUCAUACUAUUGGAACUAAAUUCACAGCCCAUUGGGGUUGCUAGUAACAUUGCAUCCAUUUCUAACAAUGACACUAUGGAAACUGAUUUUGAAUUGAAUGAUGAUGAUGAGGAGGAUAGUGAUUUUGAAUGUGAAGAAGAUUAUGAAAAAGAAAUUUGUGAAAGUGAUGAGGAUGAUACAUCACUUGAUGAGGAUUAUGCACAGGAUGAUUUAAGAGAAGGCUAUGAUGUAGAUGGCACAGAGGAUGGUGGAAAUAUGUCAUAUUACAACUCAGAUGACUGUCCUCCACCAGAUUGCAGACAGUAUCACAUGAAUGAAGCUGGGAGAGUACACUUGAAAGCAGGACAAAUGUUUCAUGAUGUGGACCAUUUUAGGAGUGUCCUACAGGAUUAUAUUAUACAAGAGGGUUUUAAAGUUUUGAGGCCAAAAGAUGAGAAGGCCAGAGUGACAGUUAUUUGUGCAGGUGAUCGAUGCAAAUGGAGGAUUCAUGCCUCACCUAUUGAGGAAAAGGAUACAUAUAUGAUCAAGUCAUUAACUCCUGGGCAUUCAUGUGUGAAAGUUACUAAAAAUCCAAAUGUAACUUCAACUUGGAUUGCAAAGACACUUGCUGACAGGAUAAGGAUAGAGCUUGAGAUGAAUACUAAAAUCAUGGUGACAAAUUUAUGAGAGACUUAUGAUAUUAAAGUAAACAGAAUGCAAUGCUAUAGGGCGGGAUUGAGAGCUAAGGUAGAACAUAAAGGUAGCCAUCUGAAGUCAUAUACAAGAUUGCACAGGUAUGGUGAGGUAUUGAGAGAGAGGAACCCGGGCACUGUGUUCAAGAUACAAUAUUAUGAUAGAUAUGACUUGAGAAGAAACCAUGUUUUUAAAAGGGCAUUUGUUUGCAUUGAAGUAUGUAAGGGAGGAUUUCUGAUUGGUUGCAGACCCUUCUUAGGUAUAGAUGGCUAUCAUUUGAAAGGCAGAUAUGGUGGAGUAUUGUUGGUUGCAGUUUUAGUUGAUGGGAACAAUGGACUGUUUCUGAUUGCAUUUGGUGUGGUGGAAAUAGAGAACAAGGAAUGUUGGUUGUGGUUUCUUUACAAUUUGUAUAUUGCCUUGCAAUUGGAUGGGAAUGAGAAUGGUCUGACAUUCAUGCCAGACAAGCGAAAGGGACUUGCAGAUGCAAUUGUUGAUAUCUUUCUAGGAGCACGUCAUAGGAAUUGCAGCAAGCAUCUCUACUGCAAUUUCAAAGGGAACAUAUCCUGGACUACUGUUGAAGUCUCUUUUUUGGACUGCAUCUAGGGCUCCUAAUGAAUGUAUUUUCCAUAAAGCAAUGAAACAGAUAAAGGAUACCAACACUGGUGCAUUUGACUGGUUGUCCAAGGUUAAUCCAUCUACAUGGUCAAGACACGCAUUUGAUUUCAAGUCCAAGAGUGAUCAUAUCACCAAUAACAUGAUAGAGUGUUUCAACCAAUGGAUAGGAUGUUUGAGAACAAAGCCAAUCUUGACUUUGAUUGACCACCUCAGAUUUAAAUUGAUGAAAAGAAUGCAGAAAAGGUAUGAGAAUUCUUUCAGCUUUGUGGGUAAAGUAACUCCAAAUAUAAUGAAGAAGUUGAGAAUAGUUAAGGAAGAUUCAAGAUUCUGUACUACUCUGGCAGCUAGUCAGGAUGAGUUUGAAGUAAUAGAAGGUAGGUCAAGGUUUGUUGUUUGUUUGAGAGCUGGGACCUAUAGUUUUCAAGUAUAGGAUGCAACAGAGAUACCUUGUAAGCAUGUGGCAGCAACCAUCUCAUGUAAUUGGGGAAAUCUUGAAGAUUACUGUGACAUUCUAUAGUAUAGUCUAUACAGGCUUGCCCACAGGGAGAUAAUUCAUCUUAUGCUAGAUCUUGACCUAUUGAAAACUGAUAUUGGACAAGGUGUGGUACAACCUCCUCCGCUGAAGAUGCUUCCAGGUAGACCCAAAAAAAAUAGGAAGAGGGAACUUGGUGAAGCAGCUCCACUAGAAUUCAGGAAGAAAUCUUCUACAAUUAGGUGUGACAUAUGUAAAUUGGAAUGACAUAACAAAAGAACUUGUCAAAGAGAUUCUGACCAACCAGUUCCUAAAAAUAAGAGGAAGCAAACAAAUAUAGAGGAAGUGGAAGAAAUCAAUACUUCUCAAAGAUUCACAAGGUCUCAGACAUCUUCUACGGCCACCAAUGAUACAGCCCGGCAAAGAAAAGAGAAAAAAUGGCUGCUGAGAGGGCAAGGAGGGUAGCAAGAAAGAAUGGUGCUGGAGCUAGAGCUGGUGGUGCUAGAGUUGGUGGUGCUGAAGCUGGUGGUUCAGGAGCUGGUGGUUCAAGAUCUGGAGUUGGUGGUUCAGGAGUUGGAGUUGGUUUUCAUGGUUCAGGAGCUGGUGGUUCAGGAGCUGGUGGCAAUGACAGAGUUGACCCAUAUUUUGGAUGAGAUAAUAGACUCAUAUUUUGAUGUUUGAAAAUAUUAGCAGUUGUAAUACCAGUAUACAGUAUACAUGGUUAUGUAAUCCUGAUUUUCGAAGGAUAUGGUCAAUCUUGACUUUUUUGGUUUGCUUCUUUGGAUGUUUAAGAAUUGUGAACUUCUUGAUAUCAGUAUGCAGCAUGCAUGGCUAUGUAAUCUUGUUUGGAUGUUGGUGAUAUUUUGGUAAUAUCAGUAUGCAUUGUUAUUUA